rnacentral:lncRNA from 1 species
GCUCACCAGUGUAAAUGUGCACCACAGCAAAGGAAAUCCUAAAACCUUUGAGAGAUUAUUGAUGCUGGUGCUGAGCUCUUACUGAGACAACAGUUAGAGGGGAUGCUCAUGGGGGUCAGAGAGUAAAUGGUGCUCAGGCACAAAUCCACCUCACAUUAAGCCUCAUGAGUCUGUAAACCCAUUCUGUGGCUAUUUUCCCCAGCUCCUGAGUAAGUAGUCAGAAUAGACAUUCUUGGCAUCGGGCAGAUGCCCACAUUGGCUCUCUGAACAAUGGGGUUAAGGUUAUUGUGUCAGGGAAGGUCAAGAGGAAACCCUGGAACUCCAAUUUGUUAGUAAUGCUAAAGUAGAUAAAGAGUAAAUAAAAUAUAAACCAGAAGAAUAAUAUUUUACCAAAUGGAGAAUAUUAGCAAAAAGACAGAAAUUAUAAAAAGGAAUCCAAUGGAAAAUCUGGAGUUGAAAAGUAGAAAUAACUGAAAAAUUCACUAGAGGGGCUCAACAGCAGAUUUGAACAAGCAGAAUAAUCAGUGAACUUAUAGAUUAUCCAGGCUGAGAAAGAGAUAUAAAAAGGAAUGAAGAAAAAUGAACAGAGCCUAAGAGAUGUAUAGGAUGCUAUCAAGUGGACCAACAUACACAUAUUGAGAGUCCCAGAAGGAGAGGAGAAAAAGAAAGGGACAGAGAGUAGAUUAGGAAUUCCCAGGUGCUGGACAUGAAUGGGGAGUGGCUAUAGGGUUUCUUUUGGAGUGACAAAAUGUUCUAGAAUUAGAUAGCAGUAGUAUUUUACAACACUGUAAAUACACUAAAAACCACUUAAUUAUACACCUAAAAAUGGUUAAAAUAGUGAAUUUUUGUAUGCAAAUUUUAUCUUAAUAAAAGAAAAUCAUAGUCUCAGUUCCUCCUGCCUUCCCUUCAUCAAUAUAAACCCUCACUGGAUGCAACUUACCCAGCACCAAUGUCUUUACUUGUACCAUUUCCUCUACCUUUUGCCUUGACCUCUCUUUGUCUACCUCUAUCUGAGAAAAUCCUACUCAGGUUUAAAAAUCUUGCCCAAAUGCUAUCAUGAUUCUCAUUCCUCAUAACAACUUUUGUAAUUCUUUAAAAUAUUGUAGUUUGGAAGUGGAUAGCUAUUGAGAAGACCUGGGCUAUCCAGUCUAAGCCCAACUGGAAAGUUUUGCUAAGUAUCAAUUUGUUAAAUUGCACGUUAAAAAAACACAUAAUAUAAAACUACUCUGUUAACCAUAUUGAAGAGUGCAGUUCAGUAGUGUUAAACAUUUUCAUACCAUUGUGCAACAACUGAGUAUCACUGAAAUCUUGAUUGGUGAAGUUUUCCCUAACCCCCUAAUUGGAAUCAAUGACUCCUCCCUCUGUAAUUCUAUAGCAUUUGGGGCAUGCUCUUGUUCUAGACCACAUUUCUUUCCAGUUAGCUCUUGUGUCUGUUCCUCUCACUAAUGUUUGAGCUCCUUGAGGACAGGGCUUGUGGCUAAUUCACUUCUGAUCUUCAUGGCCUGCACAUUGUGACACUAACUAAAUGCUCAUCAAGGACAGAAUAAAGGGAUGAAGAUGGCAGCAUCAGGUACCAAGGCUGCCAGCAUCAUAAGAACUGGAGGUGUGAAGUGAAGGAGACAAAGAAGGACUCUUCACCACUCAGGUUUCCUCCUCUUCCUCUGCAACCUGGUCUCGCAUCUAGCCUGAGCCCUGGCCAAAAGCAGGGGCCAUGAUAAUCAUUCCUUGGGUUCCAGGGUCUCAUCAGUGGCUGGCCUCUAGAAAAAUCCUACACCAGAAUAGUUGCAUGGCUAAAUCCUCUAGCAGCUGAACUGCUAUGAUUCAAAACUGUUUGUUCUACGUAUGAAGAUUUUUCUAGCUUCCAACUCUUUCUAGCUUCCAACUCUCCUGGACUAUAAGAUCAUGUGAAACAUCCCCCAAUAGUACCAUUGGCUCCCUACCUUGCAUGACCAACUAUACAAUAAGAUGGCUACAUGGCAAACUCACUUCUUGGUUUCCCAAUAAAUGUUUCUCCAGGGAGGGGAUUAGAAAGCCCCUUGAUUUUCUCCCCCCUUUGCCCUCCUGCUGCCACUCCCUGGGUGUCUCCAGAUCAUAUUGGCUUUGGCCCUGCAGGCUGCACAUAGUGAAGGGGUAAAACUCUAAUUAGCUUGUCUGUGGCUUUCUUCCGCUUUUGCUAAGGGCUCAGAAAGGAGGCUGAAAAAGAGAACUAAAGUGAAACAUUUUUGUUAUGUUUUUUUCCAACUAAUCCUGCUUCCCUUGAAAGGAUCACAAGUUGGCUGCAUUAUUCUGCCCCUACAAGAUGAAUCUCCAGUUGCCAGAUGCUUGGGCAUGAACUAAAUGGCCUGGCAUUUCAUUUCUUCCUGUCCAAUAAAAUGAGAAUAUUUAAACCAGAUACAGAAACGUCCUUUUAUUAAAAACAUGUCUUUAUUGUGUAGCUGGGUAUGCUGGGAGUAGAGUUCAAUAUUUCUCGGCCUUUGGAUGCUGGAAACAGGGACAAAACUGCCACUAUAAAAGUGCCAGACAGUUACAUAAUGCGACUCUAAACUAAUGGUUCUCAACCCUGGCUGCCCAACAGGAACAACUAGGAGCUGUAAAUGAAAGGGUACCUGCCAGCUUCCCCCUUCCUACCUGAAUGGGCCUCCAGCAUAGGCAUUAAAAACAAAAUGAAGCAAAGCACUACAAAAAAAAACUGCCUUCUGCAUAAAGAUACUAUGCAGCCAGGAUUGAAAAAUCACUGCUCUAAGGGUAAAAGAGGUUCUUUCCCUUUGGAAUAAACACUUUAUUCUGGGAGAAAUUAUUUAGGGAGUCCCCUUGAUAAGAAGAUACAAGUUAAGGCCCUUGGAAUAGCUCUGAAUAUCAGUAAACUGAUGCAAACACUCUAGACUGAUCUGUUAAUUAUCUAUUGCUGUUUAACAAGUUACUACAAACUUAGGGGCUCAAAACAACACACAUUUAUUAUCUCACAGUUUCUAUGGUUCAGGAAUCUAGGCAUGGCAUAUCUGGGUUCUCUGCAUCAUGGUCUGUCACAAGCCUGCAGUCAAGAUAUCGGGCAGGGCUAGGGUCUUAUCUGAAGGCUCGACUGGGAAGGAUCCAUUUCUAAGCUCACAUGAUGGUUGGCAGGAUUUGGUUUCUUGCAGGUUGUUGAACUGAAGCCCUCAAUUCCUCCCUGGCUGCUGGCUGCCUUCAGUUCCUUGCCAAGUGUGCAUCCCCAGCAUGGCUGCUUGCUUCAUCAAAGUGUGCAGACUAAGAGGGCAAAAGAGAAAGUCUGCAACAAGAUUGGGACUUUCAAGGAUUGGAUGGUGGCAGGAAAAGGGAACAUUAUCACCCACAAAUCAGAGCACCCAGAAAGUAACCAGACAGCAUUUCACAAAGAACCGUUCUACAUCUCUGAGGAAGGGGCCCGAUCCUCAACUCACCCUGACCAUUUUGGUGCCAGACACCAAAUGCCAACAAGCCUGAGUGGUGUGUCAUACACAUCGUUUUCCAGCUCUUAAAUAAUCAAAUAUCAUUGAGGGAGCCUGCAAAUAUAUAUGAUCCCUCAGGAAACGGACUACUCACUGGAGUGCAGUGACUGGCUAUCGUGUCUCAUGUCUACUGAGAACCAUGAGGACCAUCUCUGUGCUCGCCUCCCUUUCCUGCCCUCACACUUGAGCUCCCACUCCCUUGCCCCCACCCCUGUAGGCAUCUAGGGAGAAUGAAAUAUACUUUAGAAGGUGACAGGAGGAAGUGGUCAUUCCUGCAGUGAAUGCAAGGAGAGGUAACAACAAAACGCUGUACGUUGCUCUGGGCAUUUCCUUACAUCUUUAGCCUUGACCUUGCCUCUGAGCUCCAGAUUCAUAUCCAGUUGCAGACCUGCCAUCUCCACAUGGUUGUCUAACAGGCAUGUCUAAUUUAGCAAGUCAAAACCAGAGCUCCAGGCUUCCUGCUUCACACUUCCUUCCCUCGGCAGAGGGCACCAACAUCUACCCAGCUGCAGAAGUUAAAAUCACUCAGAGCCAUUCUUGAGUCUUUACUUUCUCAUUCCCCUCCCUCAAUACAGCAGCCUGCCCUGUUGACCCAAUCGCCAGCGUGUAUCCAGAGUCCACGCGCUUUGCUCCUUCUCUAAGACCACCAGCCUGGUCCAAGCCCCCGGUGCCUGUGCUAGUGUCAUGACAUCCUACAAAUUUGCUGGCUUCCACCGUUGUCCCCACCAUGAAUAAUUUUCCACAACAUAGCCUUUGAUCCAGGCUCGCCACAAACCCACUUUGAGCUAUUCUUCCUGUUCCUUAACCCUCAGCCUGGCUCACUCCUCUCCAGUCAUACCGGACUUUCUAUUCCUUGACUGCCCAAGCUCAUUCCAGCCUUUGCACUUCUUAUUCCUUCUGCCUGGAGACCCAUUCCUUCAGAUCGUUGCACGAUCUCCUCUUCCUUCUUUAAAACUUGGUUCAGACACCCCUGAAGGUUCAGGAAGCCUUUCCCUGUGCAUUCUCUCCAAUAUAUUCCCUAGGUAAUGACAUUACUUUGUUUAAUUUCAUUCAUAGCAUGUAUUUCUACCUGCACUUGUUGUUUUACUUGUCUAUGGCCUUUCCUCUCCUUUUUUAGAAAAUUAGUUCCAUGGAAUACUAUGCAGCCAUAAAAAGAACUAUAUCAUGUCCUUUGCAGGAACAUGGGUGCAGCUGGAGGCCAUUAUCUUUAGCAAACUAACACAGAAACAGAAAACCCAAUACUGCAUAUUCUCACUUAUAAGUAGAAGCUAAAUAAUGAAAACACAUGGAUACACAGAGGGGAACAAUAGGGACAGGGGCCUACCAAAGGGUGGAAGUAGGAGGAGGGAGAGAAAUAGAAAAAAUAACUAUUGGGUACAAGGCUUAGUACCUGGGGGAUGAAAUAAUAUGUUCAACAAACCCUUGUGGCAAGAGUUUACCAAUAUAACAAACCUACACAUGUACCCCUGAACCUAAAAUAAAAGUUGUUUUUUUUAAAAGAAAAAAAAAAGCUAAUAAAUCCCUUCUUUAGAAAAAAGAA